CAUGCGCUACGAUGGUUAUCACAGCACUAUUAUUUGUGGGAGCUAAAAAUUAAAACAAUUGAAUUUGUGGAGACAGACAGUAGAAAGAUGGUUACCAGAGGCUGGGAAGGGUAUCGCAGUUGGGGGAGGGGGGCAAAUGGGGAUGGUUAAUGGGUAUAAAAAAACAGAAAGAAUAAGACCUAGUGUUUGAUAGCACAACAGGGUGACUACAGUCAAUAAUGAUUUAAUUGCACAUUUUAAAAUGACUAAAAUAGUAUUGGAUUAUUUGUAACGCAAAUGAUAAAUGCUUCAGGUGAUAGACACUCCAUAUCUCCCAUGUGAUUACUACGCAUUGCAUGCCUGUAUCAAAAUAUCUCAUGUGCCCCAUAAAUGUACACACCCACUAUGUACCCAAAAAAUUAAACAUAAAAAAACUUUUUUUUUUUUUUUUUUUUUUUGAGACGGAGUCUUGCUCUGUCGCCCAGGCUGGAGUGCAGUGGCGCGAUCUCAGCUCACUACAAGCUCUGCCUCCCGGGUUCACGCCAUUCUCCUGCCUCAGCCUUCCGAGUAGCUGGGACUGCAGGCGCCUGCCACCAUGCCUGGCUAAUUUUUUUUUUUUGUAUUUUUAGUAGAGACAGGGUUACACCGUGUUAGCCAGGAUGGUCUCGGUCUCCUGACCUCGUGAUCUGCCCGCCUCGGCCUCCCGAAGUGCUGGAAUUACAGGUGUGAGCCACCAUGCCCGGUCCAUAUUUCUUUUUUUUUAAUGCCAUUAUAAAUGGUAUUAAUUUUUUUUUUUUGAGAUGGAGUCUCACUCUGUUGCACAGGCUGGAGUGCAGUGGCGCAAUCUCAGCUCACUGCAGCCUCCGCCUCCCAGGUUCAAGCGAUUCUCCUGCCUCAGCCUCCCAAGUAGCUGGGAUUACAAGCGCCUGCCACCACGCCUGGAUAAUUUCUGUAUUUUUAGUAGAGAUGGGGUUUUACCAUGUUGGCCAGGCUGGUCUCGAAAUCCUGACCUCAGGUGAUCCGCUAGCCUCGGCCUUGCAAACUGCUGGGAUUACAAGCAUGAGCCACCGUGCCCGGCCAAAUGGUAUUAAUUUUUAAAUUUAAAUUUCCAAUUUUUCACUGCUAGUUGACUGAAAUAUAGUUGAAGUUUGUGUGUUGCUCUUGCAUCGUGAAGCCUCACUAAACUCAUUUAUUAGUUUAGUAGCAUUUUUGUAGGUUCAGUUGGAUUUUCUACAUAAAUGAUCAUGCCGUUUGCUAAGAAAAGUGGCCUCUUCCUUUCCAAUCUGAUGUUUUUUGUCCUCUGCCUUAAUGCCCUGGCUAGAACCUCCAGUAUUGUGUUGAAUAGAACUGGUGAGAGCAGAAAUCCUUGUUUUGUUCCUGGCUCUAGGAAAGCACUCCGUCUUUACCUAUGGAGUCUCACUCUGUUGCCCAGACUGGAGUGCAGUGGUAUGAUCUUGGCUCACUGCAACCUCUGCUUCCUGGGUUCAAGCAGUUCUCCCACCUCAGCCUCUGGAGUAGCUGGAAUUACAGGCAGCAGUGGUGGAGGAGACAGGACCUCCUGCUGGGGCAGCACCAACCACUGGAGCAGGCUCAACAGUCCCCACACUGCCAGUGAAGUUCCUGAUUGUGACGCUGGCCAGACCAGAAAGGUUUGACGUUUACACUAGCUGCUUCAGUGAGGGCAUCGAUCCUGUCCUCUGUGACAGCCACUUCACUGUCAUGCAGGAUGAGGGCUGCGUAGAUGCAGGCCGUAUUUUCCUGCUUCUUUAAAUGCCUGGCAGUCUUUGACUGGAUGCCACACAAUGUGACUUUUACCUUACUGGGUGCUUGAUAUUACUGUAUUCCUGUGAAUAUUGUUCAGCUUUUUUUCUGGGAUGCAAUUAAAUUACUUGGAAGC